CUCCAAUAGCGUAUAUUAAAGUUGUUGCAGUUAAAAAGCUCGUAGUUGAACUUUGGGUCUGGACGGGUGGUCCACCUUUUGGUGCGUUACUGCUUGGCCGGAUCUUUCCUCUGGGCUUUUUCGGAAGUUCCAGUAAUUACUUUGAGAAAAUUAGAGUGUUCAAAGCAGGCCUUUGCUCGAAUAUAUUAGCAUGGAAUAAUAGAAUAGGACGUCAUGGUUCUAUUUUGUUGGUUUCUAGGACCAUUCGUAAUGAUUAAUAGGGGACGGUCGGGGGCAUCAGUAUUCUAUCGUCAGAGGGUGAAAUUCUUUGGAUUGAUGGAAGACUAAACUACUGCGAAAAGCAUUUGCCAAGGACGUUUUCAUUAAUCAAGAACGAAAGUUGGGGGGUCGAAGAUGAUCAGAUACCGUCGUAGUCUCAACCAUAAACUAUGCCGACAGAGGAUCGGAGGAUAUUCGUUAGAAUGCUUCCGGCACUCACGGGAAACUUAAGUUUUUAGGCUCUGGGGGGAGUAUGGUCGCAAGGCUGAAACUUAAAGGAAUUGACGGAAGGGCACCACCAGGAGUGGAGCCUGCGGCUUAAUUUGACUCAACACGGGACAGCUUACCAGGUCCAGACAUGAUAAGGAUUGACAAGUUAGAGACUUCUCUUGAUCUCAUGGGUGGUGGUGCAUGGCCGUUUUUAGUCCUUGGAGUGAUUUGUCUGCUUAAUUGCGAUAACGGACGAGACCUUAACCUGCUAAAUAGGGGGGCUAACGCAAGUUGGUCAUCUCCUUCUUAGAGGGACUAUGGGAUACAAUCCCAUGGAAGUUUGAGGCAACAACAGGUCUGUGAUGCCCUUAGACGUUCUGGGCCGCACGCGCGCUACACUGACGGAGCCAGCAAGUAACCUAGGCCGAGAGUCCCGGGUAAUCUCGUGAAACUCCGUCGUGCUGGGGAUAGAGCAUUGUAAUUUUUGCUCUUCAACGAGGAAUUCCUAGUAAGCGCAAGUCAUUAGCUUGCGUUGAUUACGUCCCUGCCCUUUGUACACACCGCCCGUCGUUACUAUCGAUGAAUGGCUAAGUGAGCCUUUAAGACGGUCUCAGAGCGGAGGGCAACUUCUGCUCGGCGACCGAAAUUUAUGCAAACUUAGUCAUUUAGAGAAAGUACAAGUCGUAACAAGGUUACUGUAGGUGAACCUGCAGAAGGAUCAA
rnacentral:rRNA from 1 species